rnacentral:rRNA from 1 species
UGAGGAAUAUUGGUCAAUGGGCGGGAGCCUGAACCAGCCAAGCCGCGUGAGGGAGGAAGGCCCUAUGGGUCGUAAACCUCUUUUGUCAGGGAACAAAAGCGAGUAUGUAUACUAUUCUGAGUGUACCUGAAGAAAAAGCAUCGGCUAACUCCGUGCCAGCAGCCGCGGUAAUACGGAGGAUGCGAGCGUUAUCCGGAUUUAUUGGGUUUAAAGGUGGCGUAGGCGGCGGUGCAAGUCAGCGGUAAAAGCCCGGGGCUCAACCCCGGCGAGCCGUUGAAACUGCAGUGCUAGAGAAGGCGAGAGGUACGCGGAAUGCGCAGUGUAGCGGUGAAAUGCUUAGAUAUUGCGCAGAACUCCGAUUGCGAAGGCAGCGUACUGGCGCCUGACUGACGCUGAGGCACGAAAGCGUGGGGAUCGAACAGGAUUAGAUACCC